UACGUAGGGUGCAAGCGUUAAUCGGAAUUACUGGGCGUAAAGCGUGCGCAGGCGGCUUUGCAAGACAGAUGUGAAAUUCCCGGGCUUAACCUGGGAACUGCAUUUGUGACUGCAAGGCUGGAGUGCGGCAGAGGGGGAUGGAAUUCCGCGUGUAGCAGUGAAAUGCGUAGAUAUGCGGAGGAACACCGAUGGCGAAGGCAAUCCCCUGGGCCUGCACUGACGCUCAUGCACGAAAGCGUGGGGAGCAAACAGG
rnacentral:rRNA from 1 species